UAGAUCUAAGUGAUUGUACUCAAUAAAUAGUGUGGAGACCAGAGCUCGGUGCCUUUUGCAGCCUCCAUUUUGCAACUGGCCCCCUGGCUCCCACCUUUCUGAACUCUUAACCUGUCUCUUCUCAAUCCUUUGUCGCCACCGGACUUCGGGUACCCUACGGGUGGUGUUGAGGCUGGUCCCCAACACAGCAGCAUUUGGGAUCUAGAAGUCAGCCCCAGGAAGCAGCCAACAAACAGAUUAGUGGAGCAUUGCCAGGGGAGUCCCAGAAAGAGCUGAGCAACACUUUGAUGGAGCUUCUGUGAGCUGUCAUCAGUGGAGAGCCCUGGCCACAGCCCAUACUACCUUGGUGCCCUUGGGAAGUAAAGAAGCAUGCUGUCAUGGGCUGGCAGGGGCACUCUACUUAUCAUGGCCUCUCAGGGAUCCAGUCUGGCAGAAUGAUAAAGAUCUCUAAGCCAGAGGGAAUAAAGUGCUCUGCAGGACCUCUCACUGGAAAGAAACACACUCAGCAGGAAAGCAACCAAUCCUUUCCACUCACACCAUCAGAAUAGAUGAAAGUGACCCAUCCCUUCCACUGACACCAACAGAAGAGACAAGAACGACCCAUUACUUCCACUCACGCCAUCAGAAGAGAUGAGAACGACCCAUCCCUUCCACUCACACCAUCAGAAGAGAUGAGAAGGACCCAUCACUUCCACUCACACAAUCAGAAGAGACAAGAAUGACCCAUUACUUCCACUCACACCAUCAGAAGAGAUGAGAACGACCCAUCCCUUCCACUCACACCAUCAGAAAAGAUGAGAAGGACCCACCACUUCUACUCAUGCCAUUAGAAGAGAUGACUUGGCUCCACCUCCCAUAGGCGGCCAAGAAGUGCUAUCCUACAAUGUUCUCAUUCUGUUGAUCCUCAGUCCAUUUGGUUCUUUCUUCUGGGAAUUUUCCUUUACCUUUCCUUGCCCACAUCUAAAGUGAGCAUUGAAGAAUAUGUCCUCCUUGGGGGCAGAACAGCUUUCUCAGCCUGCCUCCUGCCUGGGGAAAGGGGGAGGUCCAGGGUCGCUUUAAAUUUUGAACAGUUGUAAAUAUUUCUAGUCCAAGCUCCUGAUUUCUCUGGCUAUACAACUCUCUUAAAAACUUAAUUGGCUUCUUAUCUAUUUAAUUCUGAUCAGCUUCAUGUGCCCACAGUUACACUCAGUUCUUUUCUUUUCUUUUUCCUUUUUUUUUGAGACAGAGUCUCACUCUGUCGCUCAGGCUGGAGUGCAGUGGCACAAUCUCAGCUCACUGCAGGCUCCGCCUCCUGGGUUCACGCCAUUCUCCUGCCUCAGCCUCCCGAGUAGCUGGGACUACAGGUGCCCGCCACCACGCCAAGCUAAUUUUUGUAUUUUUUUUAGUAGAGACGGGGUUUCACCAUGUUGGUCAGGCUGGUCUCAAACUCCUGACCUCAGGUGAUCCACCCGCCUCGGCCUCCCAAAGUGCUGAGAUUACAAGCGUGAGCCACCGUGCCCAGCCCACUCAGUUCUUUCAAGACGUGCCUUGCUCUCUUGACUUGAAUCUAUUGGGCUUGAUAGAAAAGUUGUGCUUUCAUCUUUUUCCCAGGGCCACUUUGUUUUCCCCGUUCUGGGACCCAGGCUGAUGGAGAAGCCAGCAUCUUGAACACUACAGUGGCUAUGUAGAGCGGAAAAAAGUCAAGUGGCAAAGUAUGCCAGUUCUUAAAUCU